UUCAGUAUUUUGACUGUGCGAAGGUAGCAUAAUCAUUUGUCUUUUAAUUGAAGGCUUGUAUGAAUGGUUUGAUGAGGGAAUAACUUUCUUUAUAUUAUAAAUUGAAUUUAAUUUUUUAGUUAAAAAGCUAAAAUUUUUAAAUGGGACGAGAAGACCCUAUAGAAUUUUAUUUUCUUUUUAAAAAUAAUGGUUUGGUUACAUUUUUUGUUUUUAUUUAUGUAAAAUUUUGUUGGGGUGACAUUGAGAUUUAUUUAACUCUCAUAAUUAAAUUUUUAAUAAUUAUUAUUUUUAUGAUCCUAUUUUAUGGAUAUAUAGAUUAAAUUACCUUAGGGAUAACAGCGUAAUUUUUCCGGAGA
rnacentral:rRNA from 1 species